rnacentral:rRNA from 1 species
GAUGAACGCUGGCGGCGUGCCUAACACAUGCAAGUCGAACGAAGCGGGGACGGGGGAGUAUCACGUGGAUAAACCCCCAUAUGACUGGGAUAACUUCGGGAAACCGGAGCUAAACCGGACACUUAUACAUGGAUCCGCGCUGCAUUUGCUAGUUGGUCAGGUAACGGCUUACCAAGGCAACGAGGCAUAGCCGACCUGCGAGGGUGAUGGGCCAAACUGGAACUGAGGCACUGUCAUGAGGCCUACGGGAGGCAGCGGUGGGGAAGCGUCCGCAAUGGGCGAAAGCCUGACGGAGCAACGCCGCGUGAGUGAGGAGGGUCUGCGGAUCGUAAGACUCUGUUAUUAGGGAGUCGGUACCUGAUCAGAAAGCGACGGCUAACUACGUGCCAGCAGCCGCGGUAAUAC